GGAAUAUUGGACAAUGGGCGCAAGCCUGAUCCAGCAACGCCGCGUGGAGGAUGAAGGUCUUCGGAUUGUAAACUCCUGUCAGGCGGGACGAAGGGCUGCGACCUAAUACGUCGUAGCUUUGACGGUACCGCCAGAGGAAGCCCCGGCUAACUCCGUGCCGGCAGCCGCGGUAAUACGGAGGGGGCAAGCGUUAUUCGGAAUUAUUGGGCGUAAAGGGCGCGUAGGCGGCCCUGUAAGUCACGGGUGAAAGCCCUCGGCUCAACCGAGGAACAGCCCUUGAUACUGCAAGGCUCGAGGCCGGGAGAGGGUGGUGGAAUUCCCAGUGUAGCGGUGAAAUGCGUAGAUAUUGGGAGGAACACCCGUGGCGAAGGCGGCCACCUGGACCGGUUCUGACGCUGAGGCGCGAAAGCGUGGGGAGCAAAC
rnacentral:rRNA from 1 species